CAGUCGCCACGGUAAUACGUAGGGUGCAAGCGUUAAUUGGAAUUACUGGGCGUAAAGCGUGCGCAGGCGGUUAUAUAAGACAGAUGUGAAAUCCCCGGGCUCAACCUGGGAACUGCAGUUGUGACUGUAUAGCUAGAGUACGGCAGAGGGGGAUGGAAUUCCGCGUGUAGCAGUGAAAUGCGUAGAUAUGCGGAGGAACACCGAUGGCGAAGGCAAUCACCUGGGCCUGUACUGACGCUCAUGCACGAAAGCGUGGGGAGCAAACAGGAUUAGAUACCCCUGUAGUCCCUGUCUCUUAUAU
rnacentral:rRNA from 1 species